rnacentral:lncRNA from 1 species
GUUACUUGGCCAACCGAGUGUGAGUGAACAGGAGCCCGAGAGCUUAAAUGUGGGAUCUAGAUAAGGUGUCGACUGGGUUGUGGGCGUUUGUCUCCAUGUUAGGGAGAGGCAACUGAGAACGGUGACUUUGGCUUGUUUUGAGAGAGCCUGGGUUUUGACAGCAGGACGGCGAAGGGAGCGCUUGGAGAGGCUGGAAGCUCGACGUCUUAGGGAGCUGCCUGCGGGCACUGGGUUGACGCCAAGAGGUUGUCGGCAAGGGCAGGGCUCUUGCCCUCUGCUGUACCUAGGCUCUGCAACUGGGGGCUGCGAGCCUUCUGCGGCUCUUUGGUUUCAAGGACACAGCGAGCUGCUCAGGACUUUGGGAGCCAACAUCUGUCUGACUGGUGACGUCAGCAGCCCGUGUAAUCCUCUUGUGCUGAAGGCAGAUGCCUUAUUUGUUUGGCUGGAGCGAGCCAUUAAUCCCUAAUUCUGGAUCAGCAAGCGAGGGGGAAAGACCGGACCGCUCCGACCCACCCCCUCCCUACCCCCACCUCCCACCUUAAAGCACCUUAUACCACGGAAGGCUCUCAGCCUCUUCUUUCCUCUGCGAACGCGCUGAGCAGCGAUUGAAAACGUUUUGGUCCUCUGCAGGGGCGCAUUCUGGGGUCUCUGCGCAAGACCAGCUCUCAGCUCUCUCUCCUUUCCUCGGACUCUGGAGCGGGAGCGGGCCUUUCCCUCGGGUCGACCACGCCGUAGGGGACGCCGUGAAAAGAGCCGUCGCGCCCGCUGCCUCCUGCCCGCUGCGCAGAGGGCUCCGCCCGUAGAGGUCAACUUCCCUCACCCUUUUCUCUCUCCUGCUUGCCCUCCCUCCGCCCGGCCCAGGCGCUUCCAGCCCCAGACUGUGGCCACUGGCUGAGGAGUGCGAGUCGGCUGCGCUGCCCUGAGCCUAAUCCCUCUUCCGGGCCCAGACCCGAGGUCCGCGCUCCUGGGCAGUGGGGAAGCUUUAGUGAGCAGGCUUUUCUCUCCGCAGCAAACUUGUAGCCAGACCAGAUGGGCCGCCCAGCUCUCUCGGGACUAGGCAGGUGCGGAUGAGUUAAUUUUUCCGCAUUACAAAGAAAGAUGACCCAGCCCGCCCUUGGACUCUCUUUUCCCAAAAUCUCCCAACCAAACCCGCGGUAACGUUAUCAAAGGACACAGAGCCCAGGCAUAUCUGUGUGUUUAUCUUACAGGCACACACGCAUGGUUUUCUCUUUUAUAUGCUAGAUUUCAUCCCUGACAGCAGAAAAUGAUUGGCAAUGGUUAUGACGGAGAACAUGCAAUAGCGUGGUCCUUAAAAACCUGCCAUUCCUUACAAGUGCCUUAGAAAGGAUUCAGGGCGAACCAACUGGGUUAAUUGCAUUCAGUAAAAUAACACGAUUACAAAAUUAGAUCUGUA